rnacentral:rRNA from 1 species
AUUGAACGCUGGCGGCAUGCCUUACACAUGCAAGUCGAACGGCAGCACGGGUGCUUGCACCUGGUGGCGAGUGGCGAACGGGUGAGUAAUACAUCGGAACGUACCUUAUCGUGGGGGAUAACGCAGCGAAAGCUGUGCUAAUACCGCAUACGCCCUGAGGGGGAAGGCGGGGGAUCGCAAGACCUCGCGCGAUUAGAGCGGCCGAUGCCUGAUUAGCUUGUUGGUGGGGUAAAAGACCACCAAGGCGACGAUCAGUAGCUGGUCUGAGAGGACGAUCAGCCACACUGGGACUGAGACACGGCCCAGACUCCUACGGGAGGCAGCAGUGGGGAAUUUUGGACAAUGGGGGCAACCCUGAUCCAGCAAUGCCGCGUGAGUGAAGAAGGCCUUCGGGUUGUAAAGCUCUUUUGUCAGGGAAGAAACACCGGCUCUAACACAGUCUGGGAAUGACGGUACCUGAAGAAUAAGCACCGGCUAACUACGUGCCAGCCGCCGCGGUAA